UACAGAGGUCCCAAGCGUUGUUCGGAUUCACUGGGCGUAAAGGGUGCGUAGGUGGCUUGGUAAGUUCGAUGUGAAAUCUCCGGGCUUAACCCGGAAAUGGCAUUGAAUACUAUUGAGCUGGAGGUUUGGAGGGGGGACUGGAAUUCUCGGUGUAGCAGUGAAAUGCGUAGAUAUCGAGAGGAACACCAGUGGCGAAGGCGGCAUCCUGGCCAUGUCCUGACGCUCAGGGGCGAAAGCGUGGGGAGCAAACCGG
rnacentral:rRNA from 1 species